rnacentral:rRNA from 1 species
GACGAACGCUGGCGGCGUGCCUAAUACAUGCAAGUAGAAAGCUGAAGCUUGGUGCUUGCACCGAGCGGAUGAGUUGCGAACGGGUGAGUAACGCGUAGGUAACCUGCCUGGUAGCGGGGGAUAAAUAUUGGAAACGAUAGCUAAUACCGCAUAAGAGUAGAUGUUGCAUGACAUUUGCUUAAAAGGUGCAAUUGCAACACUACCAGAUGGACCUGCGUUGUAUUAGCUAGUUGGUGAGGUAACGGCUCACCAAGGCAACGAUACAUAGCCGACCUGAGAGGGUGAUCGGCCACACUGGGACUGAGACACGGCCCAGACUCCUACGGGAGGCAGCAGUAGGGAAUCUUCGGCAAUGGACGGAAGUCUGACCGAGCAACGCCGCGUGAGUGAAGAAGGUUUUCGGAUCGUAAAGCUCUGUUGUAAGAGAAGAACGAGUGUGAGAGUGGAAAGUUCACACUGUGACGGUAGCUUACCAGAAAGGGACGGCUAACUACGUG